rnacentral:rRNA from 1 species
GUCCAUGCCGUAAAUGUUGGGAACUAGAUGUGGGGGCCAUUCCACGGUCUCCGUGUCGCAGCUAACGCAUUAAGUUCCCCGCCUGGGGAGUACGGCCGCAAGGCUAAAACUCAAAGGAAUUGACGGGGGCCCCGCACAAGCGGCGGAGCAUGCGGAUUAAUUCGAUGCAACGCGAAGAACCUUACCAAGGCUUGACAUAUACCGGAAACGUCCAGAGAUGGUCGCCCCGCAAGGUCGGUAUACAGGUGGUGCAUGGUUGUCGU